AUAAGAUCCAAAAUAUUUCUUCUGAAUUAUGUGCAUUUUACUAUACUGUUUGAAUAAACAUACAGAAAAUGCCAAAUUCUACAAGUCUCAUUACUAGUUAAUCAAACGAAGUGCCGUUUUCAAACCCCCAGUGUAUUGUUUGUUACGUUUUUCCAACUUUUCUGAUUCUUGCACCCCAAAUUAGGAGCUAUAUUUGGAUUCCCAUUUUAUGGCAAUAAAGUACAAUACACUUGAUUAACAUCUGAUUUUAAUGUCAGAUGACUUUAUGAUAGCUAGUAACUCUCUUGACUUUAAAAAAAAAAAGAAGACCAUGCAAAACUGUGAACAUGGUGUGCAAUAACUAUCGCGGUUCAUAGACGUGGCAUUUUUCUCUUAGCAAAAAUACAAACCAAAUAGAUAUUCAUUUCAGUGCUUAAUAUCACUUUUAAAAAAUGAUCCCUUACAAUAAAACAAAACAGUUCAGGUAAUAUAGCUGAGCUGAUAGCAGACGUUCGUUCAUAAAGUUUGGUAACCUUUAUUCAAAAAGUAAUAAAAAUCCACAGUUAGGCUAAUCUCCACUGAAGUGAGCAGGUAAGGUCAGAGGUAAGUGUUCACCAAGCUCUGGGCGAGUUGGCUUCACCUGUGAUUUUGAGAACCAAUUUUCCUGUCCCAUUAAGGCCACCAACAUUUUGUCAAAAUGGGGUAGAGGGAACAAAAGAAUUUAACUCUCGGCUUUAUUCACAACUAGCUCACCUGUGUAUGAGAUUUUCUUGUGCAACCUGGUGCAGGCGGAAGAAACAUCCGCACGCAGAAAGACCAUCAACCCGAAGUGGGUCUCAGAUCUC